CUCGUCGUCUUCACCCUGACGCAGCCUUCACUCACUUUUUAACUAUGAAACUCUCCUAAGACUUGAGAAACUGAAAAACUUCAAACCCUAAUCGCCAAUUAGUGUGCGUGGAAGCUUGGAGAAUGGUUUCGCUGGAGGAAUCAGGCUCGAAUUCGAGCCGUUUUCCCUUAACGAGGAGUUAUCAGUAUCACUCUUCCAUUUCCUCCAAAACGCAGCGACAUAUCGGAAGGUCCAUGCGCACCAUACGCUCCAAUUUCUUCCAAGACGACAACAGUAGCUGCUCCUUCACCGAGAAAUCCGCUUGUCUAUCGGAAAACCUCACCGAUUCUGUCGUCGACCUCCGACUCGGCGAGCUCGCUUCCCGGAACAACAAAUCCGUCAAGUCCUCCAGCGCCGAUGAGGACCUACUCGAUCUCUCCCAGGCCUUCAGCGAUUUCUCCGCCUGCAGCAGCGACAUCUCCGGCGAGCUGCAGAGGCUGGCGUGCCUCCCGUCGCCGGAAUACGUGCAGAAGAGCGACGCCGGCGGGGACGCCGAGCAGGAGCCGGAGGCGGAACCCUGCAUGGGGUUCCUGCAGAGGGAGAACUUCUCCACGGAGAUUAUCGAGAGCAUUUCGCCGGAGGAUCUUCAGCCGACGGUGAAGAUUUGCAUCGACGGUCUCCAGUCGCCGUCGGUGGCGGUUAAGCGAUCAGCGGCGGCGAAGCUGAGGCUUCUGGCGAAGAACCGCGCCGAUAACCGCUUUCUGAUCGCGGAGUCCGGCGCGGUUCCCGUGCUGGUUCCUCUGCUUCGGUGUAGCGAUCCAUGGACACAGGAACACGCCGUGACGGCGCUGCUGAACCUGUCUCUACACGAGGACAACAAGAUGCUGAUAACUAAUGCUGGAGCGGUUAAGUCGCUGAUAUAUGUGCUGAAGACGGGAACGGAGACUUCGAAGCAGAACGCGGCGUGCGCGCUGUUGAGCCUGGCGUUGGUGGAAGAGAACAAGAGCUCGAUCGGCGCGUCGGGGGCAAUACCGCCGCUGGUUUCGCUGCUUCUGAACGGUUCCAACAGAGGGAAGAAGGACGCGCUGACGACGCUGUAUAAGCUGUGUUCGGUGAAGCAGAACAAGGAAAGGGCAGUGAGCGCCGGCGCGGUGAAGCCGCUGGUGGAGCUGGUGGCGGAGCAAGGGACCGGCAUGGCAGAGAAGGCAAUGGUGGUGCUCAACAGCUUGGCGGGCAUUCAGGAAGGGAAGGAUGCGAUUGUGGAAGAAGGUGGAAUCGCUGCGCUUGUUGAAGCCAUUGAAGAUGGGUCGGUGAAGGGAAAGGAGUUUGCCGUUUUGACCCUUCUUCAGCUCUGUGUUGACAGUGUCAGAAAUAGAGGGUUUCUAGUAAGAGAGGGUGGGAUACCCCCUCUUGUUGCUCUUUCUCAGACUGGGAGUGUUCGAGCUAAGCACAAGGUUAGUGAAUCCCUACCAAUUGGAUCAUGUUAACAAACAAAAAUCUUCAUUGGGAAGCUGAAGUUAUUAUUAAUUCUUAUCUUGAGUAUCAUUAUGCAUUCCAUGCUGAAACGCUGCUUCGAUAUUUGAGAGAAUCAAGACAAGAAGCAUCGUCUUCAAGCUCGUAAUUACAUUACUACUACUUAGGAAGGUAAUAAUUAUACAAUGUAAUUGGUUAUUGUAUAUAUAGUGUUUUUGCUGGUUUGUACAGUGUGGCUGAGAUAGUUGGAACGAUGUUUAUUGAAGUUAGAAGAAGCUAGCCAGCUAUAGACUGACCCUUAGAUGUAUGGAUGGAUAUAGCUAGGUUUGGGAUUUUGCUUUCCCUUGUUUCAAUUUGUUGUGUUUCCUGGUGGAUUACAUGAUUUUCUGAGUUUCGGGUUGAUUAGGUUUCUAAAUUUCUUUUGUUUACUUUAGAUGACCCUAGUUUUGUGAAAAGGGUUUCUGAUUGUAUUGCUGUACCGUUAAUUAAUUUGCCCGCUCGUAAUGAAAAUACGAAGCUUGUACUAUACUAGCAGGAAUGUUUGUGUCCAUAAUUAUUUUUUUGUUCAAAACCGAGCAUAAGUUUCGCUUAUUUGAUACUGCUGAAUGAAUGAGUUGCAUAGGCUGUUUCCA